GAGAGAGAGAGAGAGAGAGAAGGAAAAGGAUUAAGGGGGAAGAGAAAGAGGGGGAGGUGGAGGCCUGACUCACCUGCUGUGUCUCACCUGCCCUCGGCAUAAGUCGGGUUAAGUUGCCAUGUGUCUCCUUAAUAAUAACUGUCAAAAAUUACCAAAACACCUUGAUCGAUUUAGGGUCUAUAGCAGCAGCCCAACUAUAGUUCAGUUGGGUGGUCCUGCAGCCCACAGGGUAAUGGACAUGAAGGAAGGAAAGAAAAUACGGAGUGCCUGGAAGGAACACAGCGGGUCCUUGGGUUACGACGGUCUUGACCUACCACGUUUCGUGGUUACGACGUGGUCCCCACAAAUAAUUAAAUAAUUCUUGUUUCGACUUUCGACGUUUUCUUCGUAACUACAAACUUCGUGCAGAAACUAGUUUGUUGAUUGCGGUGGAAGAAUACAUCAUCACCAAGCGUUGCACUGAGGCUGGUGCGUUGUGUACAUUCUGAUCAUACACUACAGUCAUCCCUCAAAUAGUACGGGGGUUAGGGACCCAGGACCCCCAUACUAUUCGAAAAUCCGUAUAAAAUUAGUGCCCCCCCCUAAAAACAUUCCUGGGGCACUCCUACGGAAUUUGAGUCCCACCUGUCUGGCUCAGCUGUACCCACGUGCCCAAGUUGCCAGUUAUGCAUUUUCUGCUGCAGUCACAGUGUAGUGUUACCACGCUGGAGGGGUCGAGGAAGACUCAUCUGAUGGCAGUGCUUGUAAGAAAAGGAAAGACAUCACAGUGGAAGUGAAAUUUGACAUUGUGAAGUGAUUGGAAAAGGGAGAAAUGGCGAUGAACAUUGGUCAUGUGCUGAAUUCUUUUUGUUACUGUUUUUCAUUUUAUUAUUUUGCAUUUAUGGCCUAGAAGUGUUUUUCUUACAAAUAUUAACUAUUUAAUUAUGACUUUACUACUGCGUAAGCACAGGUUAGUGAUUUAAAUGCUUAUGGUACUUUGAUUUGAGGGUUGGGGCUGACAGUUCCUUCUAAUAAAGGGUGUUUUGGCUUCAUACAAAAUUGGGUUAUGAUGGUGUUGUAGGAACGGAAGUCCGUCGUAAGUCAAGGACCCCCUGUACAAGUUUCAGUACAAGAGGUGGAAGGAUUAAUGGAAGGUCUGGAUGUGAGAAAGGCAAUGGGACCAGAUAGUGUGUCAGGCUGGGUCUUGAGGGAGUGCAGUGAGCAAUUAGCUGAUAAGAUCCAAUGCAUCAUAGUCAGCUCACCAGCAGAAGGUAAGGUCCCAGCAGACUGGAAGUGAGCAGACAUCAUACCAAUUCACAAAGGAGGAUGCUGUGAAGACCCUGAGAACUAUAGGCCAGUUUCUUUGACAGGUGUGGAAGCGAAGAACUGUGAAAGGCUGAUUAAAGAUUUUUUUUUUUAAGCCCUAUGGCGCCGCUAGGCUUUCUUGGUGGGGACUGAUGGUCAUCCCCAGCCUAUUCCGGCACAGGCAGGCAUUUCUAGUGGCGCCACCUUACUUGGCUCAUGCUGCCCUCAGCUCAUCUUUGACCCUCUCUUUUUUAGAGAGGGAAUCUAGAGCCCAGGAUGAUCGGUGGUCUUCAGGACAGCAUGUGGGUAGUCCAGUGCCAUUCAGCAGUGACUGAAAAAUCCCAACUGUGGCAGUGGGGAGGACUAGAACCCGAGUCCGCAUGGACGAGGUGCCAGCAUGCAUGACUACCUGGAGAAAAAACAGAUUGAUGGACAAACAGUAUGGCUUUUGAGGAGGAAGAUCUUGUACAACAAAUAUAAUGUGUUUUUACUCACGAGUGAUAUACAUAGUACAGGAAAGGGAUGGAUAUGGCUCUUAACUCUUUCAUUGCACAUGGUAAGGGAGGCGACGAUCCCCCAGGCACACUCUGGCAGCCCGACGGGGGGGGUCUCUUUUAACCACUGUAUCUCAAAAACUAAUCAUCACAGCUAAAAAACAAAAACACCAUUGGAAAGAGGAGGCCCAGAUCUAUAAGAUUCAGUUAUGUAAGCCUCUUUGUGAACAUACAGGCACAUUAAGGGGUGUUGCCUGUUAACACUUAUGUCUGUGCGUGCGCGACGGCCAGCCAUAUUGAGGCAACUGAGUAGAUCUUGAUGGGUAUGCUGGCAGGGUAGUAUUGCCAGCUGCAAAAUUUACAACUAUUUGGUCAAAAAAUUAGUCAAGUGAUAGGUGAAGCUAUGCAAAAAUGCCGCUAUAUUGAACAACAACAUCUGCCAGUUAGUCAUCCGUAAAUUUUCCGUGCUAGGCUGAUACAGGUAUCUCUCGAUUUACGCGAGUAUUGUGUCCUUGAAGAGGUCGUGUAAAUCAAAAACAAUGUAAAUCAAACAAGAGGUAGAUUUCUAUCGAAAAUUAAAUAUUCACUUCAUUCAGUGGAGAGAGAGAGAGAGAGAGAGAGAGAGAGAGAAUAUCCAUAUCACCGAGAUAUCCACUCAGGCACUCAGUCUCAGCCUCACUUGUGUGAGGAAGAAAUGAGGGACACCAUGAGCGACUGGCUAGUAUUGGUACCAGUACCGAGCAGUCUGGUACCGGUUCCGUACCGUAUAGCUGGUACCACUAGUACCGGUUCUGGUACAGGUACCUGCCCACCCCUAUUGUUGAGUAGCGUGGCAGCGUGGGUACUGUACUGUUGUUCAAGUGGCGCGCAAGAGGAACUGAGCUCAGCUGUGUGGCUGUGGGAGUGACUGGCUAGUAUUGGUACUGGUACCGAGCAGUCUGGUACCGGUACUGUACUGUAUAGCUGGUGCCGGUACUGUACCGUAUAGCUGGUAACGUUAGUACCGGUAUCUGCCCACCCCUAUAAUGUUGAGUAGCGUGGCAGCGUGGGUACUGUAUUGUUGUUCAAGUGGCGCGCAGGAAGAACUGGGCUCAGCUGUGUGGCCGCGGCACCGUGUGAGUCCAGUUGCGUGAGACAUCUGGUGCCUACUUCAUAAAAUAUCGCGUAUAAGUGAAAAAGUGUGUAAAUUAAACAUUGAUUUGGAUUUUGGACCCCGCGUUAUUUCAAAAACGUGUAAACCAAACUCGCGUAAAUCGAGAGUUACCUGUAUGAUUUUCCACCAAAUUUAGUGGAAAACCCACUGAAUUGGCAAUGCUGUGGGGGUGAGAAGAGGCCCGUAAAAUAUUAUUGGAACACGCUCAUAUGCGGGAAAUUUAUGUGCGAUUGGAGGCCGCAGCAAGCGUUUUGCACCACCAGCAUAUGACGCUACCGCUCACUGCGAGCAUUUAGCAAUGAAAGGAUUUAGAAAGCAUUCAACAAGGUGCCACAUAAAAGACUUGUGCAAGGUGGAGCACAUCGGAGGACUUUUUAGAAAACUGGGAAAUGAGGACUGUGAUCAGGAAUGUGAGGUCCUUGUAGAGGAAAGUGACCAGUGGAGUUUCACUGGGGUCGGUGCUGGCUCUGGUCAUGUUUGCAGUUUAUAUCAAUGACAUGGUGGAGGGAAUGAACAGUUAUAUGAGUUUGUUUGGUGAUGAUGCCAAGUUACUGAGGAGGAUUGGAAGUGGAUUGUCAAGUACUGCAACAGGACCUGGACAGGAUAUGGGAAUGGAGUUGUAGAUGGGAUACAGAAUUUAACACCAAAAAGUGUAGUGUGAUGGAAUUUAGAAAAAGCAAAAAGAGAAUUUCAGGUUACUACACAUUAGGAAAUUAAAGUGUUUAGAAAACAUCAAUGGAAAAGGACCUGGGAGUAACUGUAUCAUAUGUAUUUGUCGCUGGAGAAACACUUUAAUAGAAUUGUAGGUGAGACACACAACCUGGUGAGAAACAUACAAGUUGCUUUUUAAUAUCAAUCCAGGGGUGUCGAGUCGGAACUUUUUUUCGGGUAUAAAAAGUUCUGACUCCGACUCCAGGAAAUUUUAAGGUUGUGACUCCGACUCUGACUCCAGGAAAUUUUAAGGUUGUGACUCCGACUCUGACUCCAGGAAAUUUUAAGGUUGUGACUCCGACUCUGACUCCAGGAAAUUUUAAGGUUGUGACUCCGACUCUGACUCCAGGAAAUUUUAAGGUUGUGACUCCGACUCUGACUCCAGGAAAUUUUAAGGUUGUGACUCCGACUCUGACUCCAGGAAAUUUUAAGGUUGUGACUCCGACUCUGACUCCAGGAAAUUUUAAGGUUGUGACUCUGACUAGGAAAUUUUAAGAUUGUGGAUGGAGGGGGGGAGGCAUGCAGUUAACAAGUUCAGAAGAGCAGUCAGCGUGGAAAUAUCGAUAGAAGAUAGAAAGAGAGGCAACAUUGCGGCGGAAUUUAAGAGGUAGAAGACUAUCAGUAUGAGGAGGAGAGCUGAUGAGACGAAGAGCCUUAGCCUCCACUCUGUCCAGAAGAGCUGUGUGAGUGGAGCCCCCCCUCACGAGAUGCAUACUCCAUACGAGGGCGGACAAGGCCCCUGUAUAUGGACAGCAACUGUGCAGGGGAGAAGAACUGGCGGAGACGGUACAGAACACCCAGCCUCGAGGAAGCUGAUUUAGU